UUUUUUUUUUUGCCUUUCUGUAGAGUCAAAUCCUGAGCCACUUAUAUUCACCACAGCUGCAGAGUCUGUCCUCUCCAGAGGAAUACUGACGGAGCAUAUCCUAAUGCCUAACUUCACAUCCGUGAUCCUUCCUGUACCCUCCUCAGCUUUGUCUGAAGAUCCCUUGCUACCCACACACACCGGACCUGAGGUCUUCACACAUGGACAA